rnacentral:lncRNA from 1 species
AAAGAAAGUAAGCAAGAUAAAUAAGUAGAAUAUGAUAUAGUUCCUCAGACGCUGAUAGACAGCAAGAAGAAACAUAAAGCAAGAAAGGUGCGCGUAGGAGGAGCUAUGACAUUUCACAGAGGUGGUCAGUCAGGGCUGCUCUCUGAAGGUGACAGUGGGUGAAGACAUGAGGGCUCCCACUCUGAGUGGGACCAGCCACAGCAAGUGCAGGGCCCCAGGUGGGAUAGUCCCUGGUGGGUCUGGAAAGCAGCAAAGGGGGUGGGGUGGAGUGGAGGGGGAGGAGGAAAGUGGGAGGAGGUGAGAUUGGCCAGCAUGGGGUGGACCCUGAUGAGGAGUCUGGGCUUCUCCUCCGAGAGAAAUGGAAGCUGUAGGAGGGCUCUGAGCAGGGGCGUCAUGUGACUUUGCAAAAUAAGGAAAGGCACAGAGACAGAGAGAGACAGAGAAACGGAGACAGAUCAUACAUGAGACAUACAAAAGGAACAGGAUUGAAAAAAACAAAAAAAUGAGACAGAAGACAAAGACAGAGGUCAGAGGCCAAAAUAUGGGGAGACAGACAGAUUUAGAGAGAGACCCAGAGGGUAACGAGGUAAGAACAACACACAGGCAGAGAGACAGAGAGACAGACAGACAGAGAGAGGCCGUCAGACAUCAGGUCUGACAGACCAGCUGUGGGAUUCACUUCCUCUCUUUGGGCCUCAGUUUCCCUCCUGAGGACUUCUCAAUGACGUCCUUCCUUUUCUAACAUUUGAGGUCUAGGGCUGGAAGGAAUCAGAGGUUUUCCGCCUCCCAGAAUCAAACGAUUCUCCUGCCUCAGCCUCCCGAGUAGCUGGGAUUACAGGCGUCUGCCACCACGCCCGGCUAAUUUUUUGUAUUUUUAGUAGAGGCGGGGUUUCACCAUGUUGGCCAAGCUGGUCUUGAACUCCUGACCUCAGGUGAUCCGCC